AAAAAAGUACAAAUUUUAUCUCAGCAAGUGACAGACUCCAUUUUGACCUAGGAGGAGCCGCCCCUCCUCUGCCGCCCACAGAGGUCUCAGCUGCACUUGACUUUCAUCUUGUUCUGCAAUUUACUAAUGAGGAAUGAAGCCGGGUCUGGGAAGACAGUGGGGCAGUCUCCAGCCUGCACAGCCAAGGCCUGGCCCAAAUGAUAAGCCAGGACCGGCACUUCUGAAACUGCUAAAACAAGCCUUUCCUCUAAGAGAUAUGUCACAGCAAUAGCGAGUUGACAGCACACAACCAAAGCAAGAGAAGAAGCAAACCCCGUCUCCAGACUCGAGUCUGCCCUUCCAGAGCAGACUUGUGUCAGGGUCCACAUGGACAUGGGGUCAUCAUCACAGUCCUUCUGUAAAGCAUGUGGUAGUUUGCACAAUAAAAUACACCUAUCAAAGGCA